rnacentral:rRNA from 1 species
AAUGAACGCUGGCGGCGCGCCUAAUACAUGCAAGUCGAGCGAGAAGACGUAGCAAUACGUUUGUAAAGCGGCGAACGGGUGAGGAAUACAUGGGUAACCUACCCUCGAGUGGGGAAUAACUAGCCGAAAGGUUAGCUAAUACCGCGUACGCUUCUUGGACUUCGGUUCAGGGAGGAAAGCGAUACCGUGGGUAUCGCGCUCUUGGAUGGGCUCAUGUCCUAUCAGCUUGUUGGUGAGGUAACGGCUCACCAAGGCUUCGACGGGUAGCUGGUCUGAGAGGACGAUCAGCCACACUGGCACUGCGACACGGGCCAGACUCCUACGGGAGGCAGCAGUAAGGAAUAUUGCGCAAUGGGCGAAAGCCUGACGCAGCGACGCCGCGUGGGGGAUGAAGGUCUUC